UUGCGGGCGACCCUUACACAAUCAUUAAUUCAAGCUCCUCCGAUAUCACUCUGAACCCAGGGCAUAAUGUGUCCUAAAAGCUGGUGUUAGGUUGCAGUAGCAUCUGCCUAAUAGAUAUUGCAGAGUCUGAACACAAAUGGGCUUCUCUUAAAGUGUGUGCUGUAUCAUUUCACACCGCUCACAGUUUCCUGCCAUUGAUCAAGCCCCACCUAUUCAGCUGAUGGGCCAGAGGAGUAACCCGAUCACCUAACAAGAAAGAAGCAGAGGAGAGAGGAAGGAUAAAAUGAGACAAAUGUAUGGACUGAUGAGAGACUGGAACCUGGGUGAGGUCAAUCCUGCCGUACUCUCUGUGGGUUAAAGCUGCCUGUUUGAGUGACUAGCGGCAGCUCUAUAAAGGCUUGUGAGAUUUGCAGGAAAUAGAGGAGAGAAAUCUGAGGGAGACUGGGAGACGGAGGCCACAGAAGAGCAAGGAGGAACAGGUUGAUAAAAGACAGAGACUGGCCGAACAGAAGGGAGAAGAGAAUUUUUUCCUCAGCGUUGUUAGGACAUUCCCGUAGUUCAGCUUUAAUUAAGCACACUGAGCAAGCAACUGAGGAACAAUGAGACAUCUGUGUAGGUGCAUGCAUGUGUGCGAUUCUGUGGUUGAAAACUGCAGCCAGGAGCAGGUCUUCUUCAGUGAUCGGAUGCUGCUGUUAUACAGAUUCUGAAGACAUGAAGCUGUUGUCGCACUUGUUCAACCGAGGAGUCAAGAUCACAAUUCAUAGUUUGAGAUGGUCUGAGAAAGAAUGUGGAAGAUGUUAGUGGCUAGAAGAUCCUGUGCAAGUGAAGUCUGUAUGGCAUAUAAUUGAUGGACGGAUGGUUGGGUAAAAUCCAACUUGUUUAAUGUCUCUGGAUUGGUCAAAACUGUUUUUGAACUCCUAGAGACCAGUCUGAAUGCUGAUGACAGGUUCUAAAGCUACAACCACUAUUUCUUACUGCUAUAGUAUUUCAGCACUCCGGUGAAGUGCUUGUGAGCAGGUAGAGUGCAAAAAUGUAUCAUCCUUUCACUGAUAAAACAACAGAGAGCAGAAACAGAGCGGCUAUAAAAUCACAGAUUGAUUCCAGAUCUGGAUUUUAUAGUCUGAGGGUUAUAGAAUAUCUGGUCAGCAUGAUUCUGCAGUGCCCCGUCUAUUAUCCAGAUGACCAACUCGCAUAAACCAACUAUUCACAUAAUACUUCAUUCUUUCUUUCAUGACGGAUUCUUUGUUUUUUUUUCUCUCCAGGGUUUAUCCUCUUUUCCCUUUGCUGUGCCUCUACUGGGAUCGAUGUUCUG